UACGUAGGGGGCAAGCGUUGUCCGGAUUCAUUGGGCGUAAAGAGCGUGUAGGCGGCCAGGUAGGUCGGUUGUGAAAACUGGAGGCUCAACCUUCAGAGGUCGACCGAAACCAUCUGGCUAGAGUCCGGGAGAGGAGAGUGGAAUUCCUGGUGUAGCGGUGAAAUGCGCAGAUAUCAGGAAGAACACCCGUGGCGAAAGCGGCUCUCUGGAACGGUACUGACGCUGAGACGCGAAAGCGUGGAGAGCAAACAGG
rnacentral:rRNA from 1 species